rnacentral:rRNA from 1 species
UACGAAGGUCCCGAGCGUUAUCCGGAUUUAUUGGGUUUAAAGGGUGUGUAGGCGGACUUUUAAGUCAGCGGUGAAAUCUCCGGGCUCAACCCGGAAACUGCCAUUGAUACUAUUUGUCUUGAAUGUUGUUGAGGUGGGCGGAACGGGUCAUGUAGCGGUGAAAUGCAUAGAUAUGACCCGGAACACCGAUUGCGAAGGCAGCCCACUAAGCAACGAUUGACGCUGAGGCACGAAAGCGUGGGGAUCAAACAGG